GCCGGGCGCCGUGGCACAUGCCUGUAGUCCCAGCUACUCGGGAGGCUGAGGCGGGAGGAUCGCUUGAGUCCAGGAGUUCUAGGCUACAGUUAGCUAUGCCGAUUGGGUGUCUGCACUAAGUUUGGCAUCAAUAUGGUGACCUUCCAGAAGUGGGGGACCACCAGGUUGCCUAAAGAGGGGUGAACCGGUCCAGGUCAGAUAGCUAUAUAGGAAGUUCGUUGGCUGAAAUAACUCAUACUGUUGGAGGACUGAUCAUUGUCACUUUUUCAAGUUCUGAGUUAUAUUUCAAGAAGUGCUCCA
rnacentral:sRNA from 1 species